AAUCUUCAGGGCGAGGUGUAAUUCCUCACCGGCGGUAAAGCCCGCGAGCCGAAAGGUUGAUUUGGUGAAAUUCCAAAGCCGACUGUAAAGUCAGGAUGGAAGAAGAUG
rnacentral:ncRNA from 1 species